AACGCCAAAAAUCACACUUUUUUAAGUUACUUCCUGUUCCUGUGUGGCUGAGAUACGUGUAUACCCAAUAUAUAUGGUUCAUAACAUCCUUUCAUGGCCUUUGGUUACAACAAUACGGUAAGGAACUAGAAUAAAAUUAAUUGAAUUUACAAAUUAAACAGAUGGUCAGAAUAAAAAAUAAACGGUAAAAAAAUUAACGAAAAUUACAACAAUGCAGAUGAAAGAAAAAAAAAUAUUAAUAUUAUUAAAGUUCCACAGAUGAAAAGUUUAUGGUUGUAAUAAGGCGAAAUAUUUACUAAACAUUCAUAGCAGAUAUCUUAAUAAACACGAAGAUGUCUGUGCUAUUACCAUGUAAUAGUACAGAUGCUGUCCCAUGGGAUAAUCAUAAAACGAAGCGAGCACAAAGCAUAAGAUCGCCGGUUUAUUAUUAACCCAUCUGUCUCUCUCACACACAGCAGGUGCGACCGUUACUCGAAGCGACGGUUGAGAAUUGGCAAGGAGGUGGGGGUUGGGUGGCGCGCUAAUCAGCGAUCAACCGGCGGCCGAGGCGUGGCGUGACUGUUCAGUCUCGUGUCAGCCGUCUCGCAGUAGACACCUCGCUGCUUCGCGCUCCGUAAAUGGCGCGAGAACUCCGUCGUCUCGUAGUCGUGCUGUUGAUAGGGUGUUGGGAUGGUGAAGAACAUCAAGCAGGAACAUAGCACUGCGUCGUGGUGUGCUGCCACACACCUGGGCAGGCGAUAACGAUACCUCCACGCCACCGCAGGGGGGUGUCGGCUACUGAUCACGGCAACAGGAUGUACCGUGUCGGGUGACCUGCGCUCGUGAGAACUAGUGGCUGACAGUGGCGGGUCCUGACGAUGUCCGCUACAGUGCCGGGCUCGGCUCUCCAGGUGGCCCGUGGGCUGUCCCAGCCCUUGACCAGGGAUGGUAUCAACGGGGAAUAGACGGAGGUCUCAUGCUGACGCCGCUGUGUCAGCAUACGUGGCGUCAACCUAAUGUCUAGUAGGAGCAAGGCCAGCUCCGUCAUCGCACCGCUAAGUAUAUUUCCGUGUUCUACACUCGUGGUUAUUUCCGCACUAUGCACACGACAGGUGUGUAUCUAGUAUAUCGCGUUUCCAUAACUCACUUUAACAGUAAACAUAACAAUGUUCUGUGCUGACUGGUUGCUGCUUGAAGUCGCUCUCACAGUAGGAUUGGUGUAAAUAACCAGGAAAGAUUUAAUCACUUUUACGAAAAUUAAUUACUUAAUCAAAAAAAAAUUAUAUUCGUUACGAGAAAUAGGAAAUUGUUUAAAGAAAAUAAAUUCUAGUUGUCAUUAUUGACGUAUUAAUAAUAUACUAUACAUUGCAACAAUAAGAUAAAAUCUUAUUAAUUAUUCAACAUCAAAGUAAUGCUAUAAUUGUGGAUUAUCAUAGGAACACAAUAUUUACACAAUUGUACUGCUAGUUUACUUAUUGGUUGACUAGUCUGUCAGUGGUAUAACCUUAUAUUAGUUUUCUGGUUUUGUUUACAACUUGUAAUUACCAUAUCAAUAAUUAUCAGUGUUGAUUUACACCAUUUUUUUUUUUUUUUGUAAUUAUCCUCAUUAGAUAUCAUGAUAAUGUAGCAUACAAUUGCUAUUCAGCCUAUUUUACUGCUACAUAACAGUAUUAUGAUUGGAAUUUUAUUCCACAAAAAAAAAUAUUAUUCAUAUUUACAAUGGUUUCAACACAGCAUUUAACCUGUGAUUUACUGAGUAAAUUAGUUGACUACUAAUGCAAUUAUCAGUAUUAUUACAAUUUCUUACAACAUAUUAAGAGAUUAUUAAAUAACAUAACACAAGAAAAAUAUUUACACACAAGAUUAACCAGUUGAAAAAUUAUAUACAUAAUUAAAGUUAUACAUAAUUGAAUAUCAUCAUUUCUUAUGAUGCAACAGUCAUUAUUAUUUUACAGUUUGUUACACAUAUUUCAUAACCUUAUCAGUUCUUAUGAUAUCUUGACAGAUAUUAUUAUUAUCCAAGCCUAAAAUUAUUACAUAGUGUUCUACAGAUGAAUAAUAAUUCAGAUGCAGUCUUGGACAAUUUCAGUGUUUUUUCUUGAGUAUGGUGAGGUUUUCAGCUGGUGGUUUACAGUCUCUCACUAUCUUACUCUGGACACAGCUGCACAGUAGAUUACUUGCAGAAUGCUGUUGUCUUGUUAGGUAGGCUGUCAGCUACUGGCUGAUGCGGAGUCUCAUAUCAUUUCAAGAAUGUUCAUGAUCUUCCAGUCAGGUGUUACACCUAUUUACCCUGACAUAUAAAAAUUUCUUGCACUUUUAUACAUUUGUCACAAUUCUGUUACAGUGACUUCCUUCAACAACUGGGCAGCAUAAGAGCGGACUUUCUCUCGCAACACCAGUGUUCCUUGCUACUGUGGAUAACAACUCAGAAGACAAUCACAUCAUCAUGUGCUGCUGAACAACAGUGACGUCACUCGCGUGACAGUGUGAUCCUCAAGAUGACAGUGCUUCGAAUUAUGUGUUACACAUCAAAAUAAUAUUCGGAGUUCAUAAAAUUAAUUUGUGCCCAUAAUUUAUAAAAUCAAAUUCCAAAAUAAAUUAGUUCCAGUGCA